rnacentral:rRNA from 1 species
UACGGGGGGGCAAGCGUUGUUCGGAAUUACUGGGCGGUAAAGGCUCGUAGGUGGCCAACUAAGUCAGACGUGAAAAUCCCGUCGGCUUAACCGGGGAACUGCGUCUGAUACUGGAUGGCUGAGGUGGGAGAGGGAUGCGGAAUUCCAGGUGUAGCGGUGAAAUGCGCAGAUAUCAGGAGGAACGACCGGUGGCGAAGGCGGGUCUCUGGGCCGAUACUGACGCUGAGGAGCGAAAGCGUGGGAGCGAACAGG